GGACCCGGAUGUAGAUCGCUCGCCUCGCCUUCACUUUCUGAGCCCCUGCGCGCGCCGUAGUCAGCUGACCUAGCCCGGAAGCGCCCGGAGCCCGGCUCCGGACUCAGGAGUGCCGACGGGCGGCAGCGAUGGCUCCGGACCCCUGGUUGUUGAUGUACGAUUCCACCUGUCACAUUGCGCAAGAGAUUGCUGAAAAAAUUCAGGAACGUAACCGAUGUCAAAGAAAUGGUGAAAAUUCAACAAAGCUUAAUGUGACAAUCCGAUCAUUGUUGCAGAAUCUCAAGGUAAAGAUCGACCAGCUGAAGGACUUAUUGCUUCGAGCUAUAUCAACACAUCAGAUAACACAACUGGAGGGAGACAGAAGGCAAAACUUAGUGGAUGACCUUCUUACACGACAGAGACAACUUCAAGCAUCCUAUAAGAAUGAUGGCACAGAACCAGAUGUGAUAAGAUCUGGCCUAAUGACUGGAGGGGUGAAACGAGGUGUGGCCAACCCAUGGCUCCUGGAAGAGACGGAGGAAACCAGCGGGCUUGGCUUUGAUGAGAUCAGACAGCAGCAGCAGAGGAUCAUACAAGAGCAAGAUGCUGGGCUUGAUGCUCUCUCCUCAGUCUUAUCGAGGCAAAAACAAAUGGGGCAGGAAAUCGGGAAUGAGCUGGAGGAACAGAAUGAGAUCAUCGAUGACCUCACCAAUUUGGUAGCAAAUACAGAUGACAAACUGCGCAGUCAAACCCGGCAUGUGAAGAUGGUGGACAAAAAGUCAACUUCCUGUGGUUCUCUGCUGCAUGAGAGACCCAACAAAGCGAGCUUGACUGGCAUGCUCAGCACAGUGUGACACACACAGGAAGACGUGCAUCUUUUCUCAUGGCUCUUACAAUGAAAUAUCAAAUUUGGGGCUGGUGUCUAAGCCGGUGUAACAUACCUCUACCCUUCAAGAGUCCUCAUUGGGAAUGUUGGUGGUGAUUGUGUUGUUGCUGAUUGCGAUAGCUGUGGUUGCCGUCUGGCCAACACACUAACACAAAUGUGGGGACCACCAGAGAUGCUACUUAGCAGCAGCAGAGCUGGCCAACUUCGGAGGAUGCAAACAACUCCAUUGCAAACACGUUUUGUGACUUAAGUAAACGCAGUAUUAGAAUGACAACAUUUCUGGUGCAAUGUACAGCCAAAGGGCUGUGGCUAAUUUGGAGCAUUUGAACUUCAAAAGGACUCUCUCCCUUCCUUGGUUUUGUACUUCAGAGGGACACAACUGGAAUAGCUGCAUCUUUUAAGUGAUUUACCCUUCAGUGCAACUGAUUCUAAGCAAGCAAUUUGCCCCUUUUGUUGAGAGAUCAGUCAUCCUGAGGGUUUAAUAUACUGUAUACUGCUCCUACGUAGCUUGUGUGGUAUAUGUGUGGACUUCCCCCUCUCUUGCUAAAUGAUGAUCUUUGGAACCAAGAUUUUGCAUCUUAUAAAGAAGUGAGUGUUAUAAGGAACUGAUUUAUACUAAAAUUCAAUGAAGUUGGAGGGUCAGAGAGCAGGCACAGCUCGAGAAUGAAAAGCCUGGUGAGGGUAGAACGGAAUAUAGGGACUCAGAUGUACCUUACAAACAUGAGUAAGUAUGAGACAAUCUUUGGCUGUUGUGAGAGAAUUACUGAUGGUGUUCCGCACAGAGAGAAAUGCAAACAGCAGUGGGUCUUUCCAACAUUUAACACAACUGGGUAGAACAUUGGAAAGCCCAACUGCCCAACGUUUGCUCCUAAGGGGGAAAAGUGUCUUUCUGCUAACUGUACUCCAGGGUAAGUUUACCCCAAUUAACUGCAGAAGUCCUGAUACAAAGAAUAGACUAGUCUUAAGACCAGAGAUCUGCACAGCUUUCUUUUAUAAUUUUUCAUAACUGUUAAAACUGCAAAGGAAAAUAUUAUGAGUAUUAAAAAAAAUGAAAAAAGUAUUUAAUGCUCAUUGCUGUCCCAAAAAUCAUUAUUUUGUUAUGUGCCAACUUAAUUGUCAGAACUGAUAGAGCAAUAAUAACACUGAAUAAAAGCUGAUCCAUUUA